AUUGAACGCUGGCGGCAUGCUUUACACAUGCAAGUCGAACGGUAGCAGGUUAAGCUGACGAGUGGCGAACGGGUGAGUAAUGCAUCGGAACGUGCCCGAUCGUGGGGGAUAACGCAGCGAAAGCUGCGCUAAUACCGCAUACGAACUGAGGAUGAAAGCGGGGGACCGUAAGGCCUCGCGCGAUCGGAGCGGCCGAUGUCAGAUUAGGUAGUUGGUGGGGUAAAGGCGCACCGAGCCAACGAUCUGGAGCUGGUCUGAGAGGACGACCAGCCACACUGGGACUGAGACACGGCCCAGACUCCUACGGGAGGCAGCAGUGGGGAAUUUUGGACAAUGGGCGAAAGCCUGAUCCAGCAAUGCCGCGUGCAGGAAGAAGGCCUUCGGGUUGUAAACUGCUUUUGUACGGAGCGAAAAGGCUCUCUCUAAUACAGGGGGCUCAUGACGGUACCGUAAGGAUAAGCACCGGCUAACUACGUGCCAGCCGCCGCAGUAA
rnacentral:rRNA from 1 species